rnacentral:siRNA from 1 species
ACAAUGCAGAGCUUAAGGUAGUGA